AGAGUUUGAUCAUGGCUCAGAUUGAACGCUGGCGGCGUGCCUAACACAUGCAAGUCGAGCGAGAAACAACUUCUAAGAAUUCUUCGGAACGAUUAAAGUUGUGGAAAGCGGCGGACGGGUGAGUAACGCGUGGGCAACCUGCCCUAUACAGAGGGAUAGCCACUGGAAACGGUGAUUAAUACCUCAUGAUACUGCAAUAUCGCAUGAUGAUGCAGUCAAAGAUUUAUCGGUAUAGGAUGGGCCCGCGUCUGAUUAGCUAGUUGGUAAGGUAAUGGCUUACCAAGGCUUCGAUCAGUAGCCGACCUGAGAGGGUGAUCGGCCACACUGGAACUGAGACACGGUCCAGACUCCUACGGGAGGCAGCAGUGGGGAAUAUUGCACAAUGGGGGAAACCCUGAUGCAGCAACGCCGCGUGAGCGAUGAAGGCUUUCGGGUCGUAAAGCUCUGUCCUAAGGGAAGAAUAGAUGACGGUACCUUAGGAGGAAGCCCCGGCUAACUACGUGCCAGCAGCCGCGGUAAUACGUAGGGGGCAAGCGUUAUCCGGAAUCAUUGUGCGUAAAGGGUGCGUAGGCGGCCAGAAAAGUCAGAGGUGAAAGGCUACGGCUUAACCGUAGUAAGCCUUUGAAACUAUUUGGCUUGAGUGCAGGAGAGGAAAGUGGAAUUCCUAGUGUAGCGGUGAAAUGCGUAGAUAUUAGGAGGAACACCAGUGGCGAAGGCGAC
rnacentral:rRNA from 1 species